rnacentral:rRNA from 1 species
AGAGCGAACGCUGGCGGCAGGCCUAACACAUGCAAGUCGAGCGCCCGUAGCAAUACGGGAGCGGCAGACGGGAUAGUAACACGUGGGAACGCGCCCUUCGGUUCGGAAUAACUCAGGGAAACUUGAGCUAAUACCGGAUACGCCCUUACGGGGAAAGAUUUAUUGCCGAAGGAACGGCCCGCGUCCGAUUAGCUAGUUGGUGAGGUAAUGGCUCACCAAGGCGACGAUCGGUAGCUGGUCUGAGAGGAUGACCAGCAUCACUGGGACUGAGACACGGCCCAGACUCCUACGGGAGGCAGCAGCGGGGAAUAUUGGACAAUGGGCGCAAGCCUGAUCCAGCCAUGCCGCGUGGAUGAUGAAGGCCUUAGGGUUGUAAAGUCCUUUUAACGGGGAAGAUAAUGACGGUACCCGUAGAACUAAGCCCCGGCUAACUUCGCGCCAGCAGCCGC